GGGUCAGGAACGAGCACACGCACACGGAAAGAAUAUUCACUUCAACGGAUUAAAGAUGCAUAGCUACAAAGACAAUAAAACUCAUGUGUGGGGGGAUGGAGAGAGGUAGAAGAUGUAGAGAGAAUGAAGGCUCUGAAGACAGGAUUAAGAGAGAGGGAUAUCCUCUCAUCUCUGUUGUGACCAGCUGGACACAGGUCUCAUGGAAGACAAGCAUGGAGACUAUUUUCUGUCCU